UCCUCGGCUCCUCUGAAAGGAGGCGCAGGAAGGACAGCGACUCGGAGGACGAGGAGCCUGCUGCCAAGGUGCCCCGUUGGUGACGUCAGCGACUCAGAUUGAGAAUGGUUAUGAAAACCCAGGUAGCGUCUUGCACUGGGACCAUCCAUCGUCUCUGUAUGUAAAUAGUUCCAAACAUUUAUUAGUUAUCAUUUAGUUAAGUUAUUUAAGUCUGUGCGGCGGCCUUUGCGUCUGGCUGGGCAAACAAAUCCCGACAGCCUCUGUGUCUGGCGGGGCAAACAUAUCCCGACAGCCUCUGCGUCUGGGAGUUUUAAUCCUUCCUCCUUGCUUUGACACAACAACUGGGUUGACUUUUCUUUCCUCCUGGGUGGAAAUGCUGUGGGAAGCCCUUGCAACUGGCAGGGCUGUUGACCCCUCGUCUAAAGGGCAGGAUAGGAUAACAACUUAAUUGUGUGGUGAGAGAGAGAGAAAGACGGCAAAAAGCUGCAAAGAAAUAUCAAACAAAGCCACUUCCACUCACCACCAAGAAAACUUCUUAAUGGAGCAUUUGGAGCAAAACCCAAAACAACCAAACUCUGACCAAACAGAUAACAUCUUGUGGAGCUCUGUCUUCUUCAGGUAAGUACGAGCUUCUGAGCAAAUUUCAACAUUGAAUAUGAUUAAUUCAAAAAUUCAAAAACAAGCUUACUAACCAAUUUUUCUCUCACCAGACGAAAAAAGUAAGUACAAGCUUCUCACUUAAAAUAAUAUCACUUACAUAUCAAUUUAAAUAUUAUUUGUCUCUCUUACUUAUCACUGUUUCUUCUCUCUUACUCCAUCCCCGGAGCUGUGGACGGGUAAAAAAAAGUAACAGCACAACUCACAGAUUGUUUGACUCAUGCUUUUGUCUUUCUCUGCCUCCCGAGUCGCUGCCGUUCACACCAUACAUCAUCAUUCAUGUUAUUGUGAAUCAUAUAUUACUUAUUUAGCAAUUCAAGGGUUAUUUGUCUGUCUCAACGUAAUUUUGUCUCCUUACCCACUGCCUGAGCUGCCGCUGUUCACUGUGUCCCGAGGCCCCCUGAACGAGGAUGAAAACCAAAGCACUCAAAUAAACCGUCACAUCAGUCCACUGAACUGACUUUGUCACUCUGCUUUAAAACUUAACUGUAUUAAUGUUAAAUAAAACACUCAGACGUCUGAA